AGCGAACGCUGGCGGCAGGCCUAACACAUGCAAGUCGAACGGAUCCUUCGGGAUUAGUGGCGGACGGGUGAGUAACACGUGGGAACGUGCCCUUUGGUUCGGAACAACUCAGGGAAACUUGAGCUAAUACCGGAUGUGCCCUUCGGGGGAAAGAUUUAUCGCCAUUGGAGCGGCCCGCGUCUGAUUAGCUAGUUGGUGGGGUAAAGGCCCACCAAGGCGACGAUCAGUAGCUGGUCUGAGAGGAUAAUCAGCCACAUUGGGACUGAGACACGGCCCAAACUCCUACGGGAGGCAGCAGUGGGGAAUCUUGCGCAAUGGGCGAAAGCUUGACGCAGCCAUGCCGCGUGAAUGAUGAAGGUCUUAGGAUUGUAAAAUUCUUUCACCGGGGACGAUAAUGACGGUACCCGGAGAAGAAGCCCCGGCUAACUUCGUGCCAGCCGCCGCUGUAACAC
rnacentral:rRNA from 1 species